UAGAAACUUUAGUUGAUUGAAGUCAUGAGGGUCAGGAAAAGUCAACAUCCUCAUCCCUUAGGUUCCAAGUGAUCUGGUGGUUGAGUACCCGAGGGCCGUGAUUGGGGGCUGGGGUUUUAAAUUCUGCAAAACAGCUCAAGACAGUGCUUUAGGCUAGAAUUUAUCAUUGAAAUAGGUCUGGAAGUCUUUACUAAUGGUUUGUUAUCUUUGCUAUUGUUACUUCUCUUUCCUAAGAAGUAUGUCCUUUUGUUCUUUAAAUGUCAGUAUUACUGAGACCUGUUCAAGGGCAAGCAUUGUGUCCAGGCUUAGAUCACAAAAGGGCUUAGGCCAAAAAAUGGCUUCUCUUCUGUCAAGAAAGCUUUGCCUGCUUCUCUUUCUCUGGAGACACCCCUACCCUAUCUGCUUACAUUUCUUUAUCUGAGAAAUUAAACAACAGUUGAAUAACUCACUAUCUGUGGUAUCUUAGGACUUGAGUAUGGGCUGACUGAGACUGGAGAUUAGAAGACAUGUUUGGAAAAAAAAAUCAGAAAUGUAUUGGUUCCUUUUUGUGAGGUUUAGUGACAUCCUUUAAGAAAAGGACAAGCUGCAGUUAAAGCUGGUUUAUUUGGAAGCAGUGAAAACAUCAAGAGCAGGCCUUUCGCCCUUAUCCUGCAAUCCCAAACAGCCAGGAGCCAGAAACUGUAUAACUGUUUGAAAAGUAAAGUCCUCUUUGCAGUCUAAAUUUAGUGCCAGCAAAAGUGAGGAGGGUAGAGUGAAAUUAGAAGAUAAGAUUGAAACCAGGAGCCACCCACUUCUGUUGACAGAACAUCAAGGCUAAUUGUUAGAAGACAGAAACAACACCUUUGGGAUCUAGAAUCAAGGAUUAGGCCUCUGUGUGAAUACUGGCUUUUGUUGUUAACUCAGUGAAUUUACUGGAAACAAAUAGAUUGUAGAGUUUACUAAACUUUUAAGGAACUAGUGUUUCCAGAGAAACUCAAACACCCAGAAACUCAGGGCUGUGAUUGCUCAACCCCCAAGGCAAUACUCAGUCAGGAUCCUAAACCCACACUAACAGAAACAACACCACUGAUGGACUGUGAGAAUGAGAAAGUAAACACCCCCCAGUGCCUUUCGCAGCUCUGAUCAGACAGGACAAGUUACAGGGGAAAUCAUCCCAGAAGACACACCCAAGAGCAGACCAAAGGGUCCCCAAGAAAUUCACUCUGAAGCCAAUACAAGGGAUCCCUUACUCCUGUUCAGUGAGUACUAAGCACAUUGCAAGUCACCCCUCCUCCCAUUUCCCCUUUUCAAGUAGAAGGUUUAUAGUAGUCAUUUUGUUUCCUCAUCACAAAUGUAUAUUAUGUUUGUUGGAGAUGCUUAAAUGUAUCAGUUUACAGUAGGUUUCUGAAUCGUGAGGAAUGCACAUGAACAAGAGAAUCUGGACUCAGCCUGGGUUCAGUAACUGGGUAAAACCUGCAUGGUGCUGGAACUAAGGCACCACCCAGAUGGAGGAUGGUAAUUUCAGACUGAGCACAAGAUUGCUGGAGCCCUGCCCUGUUACGUCACCACCAACCAAUCAGAAGAAAGUCACACACCCUGCAGCCCUCAUCCCAAAUUGUGCCUUUAAAAACUUCUCCCUGAAAAUCAUCAGGGAGUUUGGGGUUUUCCGAGCAUGAACCACCUGUUCGCCUUGCUUGGCCCUGCAAUAAACCUUUCUCUGCUCCAAA